rnacentral:lncRNA from 1 species
GUUCUCAUGAUAGUGAAUGGGUCUCACAAGAUCUGAUGGAUUUAAAGACGGGAGUUUCUCUGCACAAGCUCUCUCUUUUUGCCUGCUGCCGUCCACAUAAGAUGUGACUUGCUCCUCCUUGACUUUUGCCUUCCACCAUGAUUGUGAGGCCUCCCCAGCCACAUGGAACUGACUUUCCCUGCACAAGUUCCCUCUUUGCCUACUGCCAUCCAUGUAGGACAUGACUUGCACCUCCUUGCCUUCCACCAUGAUUGUGAGGCCUUCCCAGGCACGUGCAACUGUAAGUCCAAUAAACCUCUUCCUUCUGUACAUUGCCCAGUCUCAGGUUGGAGUGCAGUGGCACAAUCUCGGCUCACUGCAGUCUCUGCCUCCCGAGUAGGGAAUCAAGGGAUUCUCCUGCCUCAGCCUCCAGAGUGGCUGUGAUUACAGGAACCUGCCACCACGCCCAGCUAAUUUUUGUAUUUUUAGUAGAGAUGGGGUUUUGCCAUAUUUGCCAGGCUGGUCUCGACCUCCUAACCUUAGCCUCAGCCUCCCAAAGUGCUGGGAUUACAGGCAUGAGCCACCACGCCUGGCCAAAAUUAAAAUUUUUGUGCUUCGAAGGACACCAUCAAAAAUGUGAAAAGACAACCAACAUGGUUAAAUAUCACCAGUUUCUUUACCUGAUGCUGCUUUGUCAUGCAGCUUGGUCUCAGAUGAUUCUUAGAUGGUCCCAAUGAACAUAUUCCAGUGUUUUCAUUGGAAAGAAGAGACUCUAGAUGAAGCGGGGAUACAAGCAAAAUUUAAAGGCAAUUUUCUAGCCAUAAUGAGAGAUAUGUGUUUAAAAUUCAGGAUACUGAGUUCUAGAGGGUUCUAGCCACAUUGGGUGAGGGCCAUGCUUACUCUACACUCCCACGAAGUAUACUUAGCUUUAGGCUCCUUUUACCUGAAAUAUGUAGGCCCAGGUGACCUCUUCUCUCAGGUAACUGUUUCUCAAAACCAUGUCCUCAGAACACCUGGAUUAGAAUCACCUGGGGUCCUCUUAGAAAUGCUGAUUCAUGAGUCUCACCUUAGUCCUAUGAAAUCAACAGCUUUUGUGGUAGGGACAGCGGAAGCUACUUUAUUUUUUCUUGAGACAGAGGCUCGCUCUGUCCCCCAGGCUGGCGUGCAGUGGCGAGAUCUCGGCUCAUUGCAAGCUCCACUUCCCAGGUUCCGUCAUUCUCCUGCCUCAGCCUCCCCAGUAGCUGGGACUACAGACGCCCGCCACCACGCCCGGCUAAUUUUUUGUAUUUUUAGUAGAGACGGGGUUUCACCGUGUUAGCCAGGAUGGUCUGGAUCUCCUGACCUUGUGAUCUGCCCGCCUCGGCCUCCCAAAGUGCUGGGAUUACAGGCAAGAGCCACGCGCCCGGCCAGAAGUUACAUUUAAACAAACUGCCCAGGUGGUUCUGCUGAAUAUGAAGGGGGAGAACCAUGGUUCUAGCCUGUACUCUCGGAUCUCUGCUUGUCUUGCUCUUUAUUGCACCAACUGAAUGGGAAUAAUAGGAAAGCUCAACAAAGAAAAAUGUCAACUGCUUCAGGAAUUCUAAGAGGGAGAGCGAGGAACAGAAAAAGAAGGAGAACAAAAAGGAGGAGGAAAAGAAAAACUUUCAUUCCUUUUCUUAUAACCCAAGAUCCCCCUUCCCUAAUGUUGUAGCUCCUGCAGGUACUUAAAAUUUGGCCUCAGCUGCAGCAGCCUGCGGGUGUUGGCGUAAAGGACCUCGCGCUCCCUCUAGAGGCCGACAGUAAUAAGGGCAGGGAGAACUGAAGGGUAGUUGAAAGUGAGGUGAAAAGAGACGCUUGUUAACUAACUCCCUUGGCAUCAUUCACUCUACAGUCUUCUAGCACAUCAGUUCUCAAAGUGUGGCCUGGGGAACCCAAAGAAGGGUCCACAAAGUCAAAACUAUUUUCAUGAUAAUAUAAAAAUUUGCCUUUUUUAUUCUCAUUAUGAAUAUAGAGAUUUCCAGAGGCCACAUGACAUGCUGCACUCCCAACAGAUGGAAUAUAGAAGCAGAUAUGAGAAUCCAAGCUUUUUUUUUAUUAAACCAGGCAUUAAAGUUAUUUAAAAACAAUGUAGCUGAGCGCGGUGGCUCAUGCCUGUAAUCCCAGCACUUUGGGAGGCCAAGGAGGGUGGAUCAUUUGAGGUCAGGAGUUCGAGACCAGCCUGACCACAUGGUGAAACCCCGUCUCUACUAAAAACACACAAAAAAUUAGCCGUGCAUGGUAGUGCAUGCCUGUAGUUCCAGCUACUCAGGAGGCUGAGGCAGGAGAAUAGCUUGAACCUGGGAGGUGGAGGUUGCAGCAAGCCAAGAUCACGCCACUGCACUCCAGCCUGGGCGACAGAGCGAGACUCCAUCUCAAAAAAAAAAAAAAAAUCACAUUCAACCUAGACAGUGUUACCAGUUGAGCCACAGGUCAAGCCCAGGUUUAAUGUAAAAGAGGACCACACUGGGAGUAGGCAUGAAAACUGAGAGUCAUGGUCCAUUGGACACCAUCUUUGAAUGACUCACUUGGCCGCCUGCUUUUUAUUUUCUCUAUAAAAUGGAUUAAC